rnacentral:lncRNA from 1 species
UCAACACAAUAUUCAUUAAAGCCCAAAAGAACAAAAUUCGGUACAAACAUUUAGCCCAGAUAAAACCCAAUGACUUUACACUGUUAAUGAAAAGAUAAACAUAAGUUGACGAUUUAACACGUGUAAAAUAAUCAUGGAAAACAUCCCACGUGUCCAUCGGAGAGAGUAGAAACAGCCACACCAUCUCUGCCGCAGGCAUGCAUCGCCGAUUGUGCUCAGCAAAAUAAUUUGCUGUCGCCGAUUGUGCUCAGCAAAAUAAUUUGUUGUCACCGCCGUGAAACGUCAAAUCAUGGCUGGAUGUACCAAAGAACCUUUUGCAAUUUCGCCGAGAGAGAGAUCGAAGAGGCUAAGCUUGAAACGCCGGAAUAAAACCUCGGUAAGCUGGAGACGGAAUAUUCUCCAGGGAGCCACCAGAACACGGCGAGAACACCAGAUCGUCAUACUCCUCUCUAAGAUAACCGCAUCACCUUAUUAACUCCUCCAUAAAAAAACCAUCGCUCCUUUUAAUCAUCUAGGAUGAGUGGAGAUUCACAUUUCAUAAAAAAAUAAUAAGCACCGGUGAGGCAAAAUCUCAUCAAAUCUUUCGGAAUUUGACUUCUUCGAAAUCAUACGAAGAAUCGAAUAAAACAUGCAAAAGGAGAUGAUUUAAAAACUACUAAACACAAAACACAAAAAUCGAACAAGUCAAAAAUAAUAUCCAAUAAACGAAAAAAGAUACAAACAAAGAUCCGGUCUAAUCAGACUUAUUCUCCAAAAAAUAUAUAUAGUGCCGGCAUCGGAUUACCACCGGACACCGGCCAAAAAGAUAAAACAACAAUGAAAAGUUUUCGAAGAAACUUGAGAGAAUUUUUCUCUUUCUAGAAAAACAUUUUUUUUAAAUUGAAGUUGUUGG